UACAGCGGGUGCGGGCGUUGUCCGGAAUUACUGGGCGUAAAGGGCGCGUAGGCGGUUCGAUAAGUAGGAGGUGAAAUCUCACGGCUCAACCGGGAGGCUGCCUUCUAGACUGUCGGACUUGAGCACGGUAGAGGCAGAUGGAAUUCCCGGUGUAGCGGUGGAAUGCGUAGAGAUCGGGAAGAACACCAGUGGCGAAGGCGGUCUGCUGGGCCGUUGCUGACGCUGAGGCGCGACAGCGUGGGGAGCAAACAGG
rnacentral:rRNA from 1 species